UACGUAGGGGGCAAGCGUUGUCCGGAUUUAUUGGGCGUAAAGAGCGUGUAGGCGGUUUGGUAGGUCCGUUGUGAAAACUCGAGGCUCAACCUCGAGACGCCGAUGGAAACCAUCAGACUAGAGUCCGGAAGAGGAGAGUGGAAUUCCUGGUGUAGCGGUGAAAUGCGUAGAUAUCAGGAGGAACACCUGUGGCGAAAGCGGCUCACUGGACCAUUACUGACGCUGAGGCUCGAAAGCUAGGGGAGCAAACAGG
rnacentral:rRNA from 1 species